rnacentral:rRNA from 1 species
UACAGAGGGUGCGAGCGUUAAUCGGAAUUACUGGGCGUAAAGGGCGCGUAGGCGGCCUGCUAAGUCGGACGUGAAAUCCCUCGGCUCAACCGGGGAACUGCGUCCGAUACUGGUGGGCUCGAAUCCGGGAGAGGGAUGUGGAAUUCCAGGUGUAGCGGUGAAAUGCGUAGAUAUCUGGAGGAACACCGGUGGCGAAGGCGGCAUCCUGGACCGGUAUUGACGCUGAUGCGCGAAAGCCAGGGGAGCAAACGGG